ensembl:lncRNA
GUGUGUUUGUGGGUGUCGCGUCAGACUAGGUCUGCAGCGGUUUGUUUAAAUCCACAGGGAAAAUGCACGGGAAAAAUUAAAAACAGAAAAAUUAAAUAGAAAAAAUAGGUGGUGUGUUAGCCGCGGUAAAUGAGAGUUUAUUAAGAUUAAGAGAAGCGCGAGUCAACUAAUGAGUGUCAGCUGUCCGCGGUUCUACUGAUUUGGUUGUGCUGCAUUCAGCUCACAGGUGCUUAUUUAUCUGGUUGGCCUUUAGUUGGGGAGACACACUGGUGAGAGUAACACGGAAAUUAAACUGUGCUUGCUCUCAGUUUGGAAGAAGUGCUGUGCAGGAACAUAACGCUGAAAAUUGGAGAGGCUGCCGGUAAGCGCUUGACUCGUUUGUUUGGAUUUGUGGCGUGUACGGUCGGCAUGUUUGGAGCUUGGUGUUUGCACUGAUUGUCACCAUU